CGGUCAGGCCCAAGCGCUUCUGAUGGAAGAAUAAGGUCUUAAACCUGGAGAGACAAACAAAGUGCGCUCAACGACUACUGCUCCCUCCAAGAAUUCACACCGUUUUCGUCUCCAGCGACACCAUGACUUCGACGCGUUCUGCAAACCUGUCACCGUGGAAUCAACAUGCCAACGCGCCAUGAAUUCCAUAACUCUUCAUCCUCUCCCGUGUUUGAGACGAACUCGGCACUGCAUAAUGGAAAGAACGCUUAUCCUCACAAGCGACGGCGUACAGUAGGAUUUCAACAACCGGAAGAGAAGCGUACAUGACCGUGCUCUCGUCGCUGCGUCCAUUUCAAAGCGCAGUUCCUUAAGUGAGGAAACGAUGGCUUCACCUCCCCGAUCCACAGCUUAAACCAGACUAAACAUAAGCGAUACAACAAAGUCUAAUUGAAGACUCACAGGGAUAAACAGGUGAUGCAAAAUGGAAGUAACUUGGUCUUGAAGGAGCAUAAUGCAUGAUCAUGAAGAUGGUAGAUGAAGAAAGACCCAAAAUGGGAAAUGUUGAUGCAAAGCGAGGCUUUCUUGGAGUGGAAACCAAUUUGGAUGGGAGAUUGAAUGAAAUGAUUAAGCAUGAGGCAUGGUGGUUUAGGAUUAGGUUCUUUUUAUAAUUGAAUUUAAACAUUAUGAUGUAAGCAUGUGUAGGCUAUGGUUUGGAAUUGAAUUUAGAAUUGUAAGAAAUGAUUGUGUGUAGUUUUAUGAAGUUGUAUGGGAUGGUCAUGUAUUGGAAAUACUUGUAGUCUUGGAUUUGCAUAGCCAUAUGAAUGAUAGUAAAAUGGAAAAUUUGUAAUGGAAAUGGUUUAUGGCUUAAA